CCGUUCGCCCAGUUAUGCAAAGGGCCCCUUUUGAAUAAUGCCAAAAAUCAUAGCUCCUGGUUUAAGUCCGGCAAAUGUUAUCAUCACGCUGCGAGAUAUUCUUAGAGUUCCGAGCACUUGUAUCUGAGCCUUCAGUCAGGGUCCUCUCUUGAGCGCUCACGUCGUACGUACCGAGGCCAUGUGCAAUCCGAGUUCAGAGGAACGUGUUGGGGGUACAGUCGAACACAUGAAAGAGCUGACCGCGUUUCGGUACAGGGAAAGAACUGAAGAUAAAGUAAACCGGAUUUCCACAACGACUUCCUGGAAAUGAUGUGUUGCCUGCUCGAUAAAAUUCGAAGUUCCACAGGCGACCUAUUCGUACGUGUACAGCGCAAGACAUUGAUUGAGGACUGAAUGGUUUCUUUAAUAGCGAUGUUAAGGAUAGAAAGUUUUAGUCGAGUUCUCUAGCUGAAGAUGAAGAGAGCAAAGUCAACAGAUCCGAGUUCCACAGGGAGUCGACAUUCAAUAAAAAUGCACAUAAAAAAAAAAACUACGACAAACAUACAUUCAUUUUCAGGUAGGAUCUCUACUGAGACGCAGUCCUAUUAUUGUGUCCCUUUGGUUGAAGAGUUAUACGAAUUUAUCCAAUAACACUUGGUAGAUUCUCCCUUUUUUCCUUAUAUGCUCGAAUGGUGGACACAUAUUGGAUAGACUAAGGGAAAACUAUUAUAGAUAGAAUUGGUAAACCUUCACAAUGGGGCUUCAACUUCAAAAUUACAACUCAUAGAGAAAGAUAUUCAGAUUAUGCGAAGUUAGCGCUUCGAAAAGUUACAUCGAUACGAAGCGGAUGUUAUCUUUUACUAGGGCCGGUCUAGAACGCAAAUUUACUGAAGCCGGCGUAUCCGCUUACACGGUUAUUUAUGUCCGUACAAAAACUAUCCGACUUGAAGUGUGAUUUGAUGUAUUAAAGAUUCAAUGUCGGAUUUCGGUAAACUGUUUUAGAUGUAUAUUCUAAUGUCCAUCUAGUAUCUUCCGAGUACUAAAGUAAUAACACUUAGAAAAGUAAAUGAAGUACGUCAGCGAUUCUGGAGCAUUCUGUCGACGAGCUGAAUAAAAGUAAUAACUCA
rnacentral:lncRNA from 1 species